AUUGAACGCUGGCGGCAGGCUUAACACAUGCAAGUCGAGCGGGGUGAUGGUGCUUGCACUAUCACUUAGCGGCGGACGGGUGAGUAAUGCUUAGGAAUCUGCCUAUUGGUGGGGGACAACAUCUCGAAAGGGAUGCUAAUACCGCAUACGUCCUACGGGAGAAAGCAGGGGAUCACUUGUGACCUUGCGCUAAUAGAUGAGCCUAAGUCGGAUUAGCUAGUUGGUGGGGUAAAGGCCUACCAAGGCGACGAUCUGUAGCGGGUCUGAGAGGAUAAGCCGCAACACUGGGACUGAGAGACGGCCCAGAGUCCUACGGGAGGCAGAAGUGGGGAAUAUUGGACAAUGGGGGGAACCCUGAUCCAGCCAUGCCGCGUGUGUGAAGAAGGCCUUAUGGUUGUAAAGCACUUUAAGCGAGGAGGAGGCUCUUUUGGUUAAUACCCAAGAUGAGUGGACGUUACUCGCAGAAUAAGCACCGGCUAACUCUGUGCCAGCCGCCGCAGUAA
rnacentral:rRNA from 1 species